UCCCGCCCCGGUCGGGCCCAGGUGCCGAGCCGGGGCUGCUGAGAGGGACAUUGGGCUCUGUUGGGCUCUGUCCUGGAAGAUGGAGGUGGUAAAUUACCUCCCCCCCCACCUCUGCCCGGGGUACCGCAGCUCCGUGCGGCGGGUGGGAAGUUCCUGUGAGGGGAGGUGCGUGUGAGGCUGCUGGCACCGGUACCGGUACCGCCGGGCUCCUGGGGUGUCUCGUAGUAGGGCGGGUUUGGCAUUGCGUUGUAGGCUCAGAUAACUUUAGCUUUGUGCUAAAGCUGCUUGGCAGCCCUGCCAAGGAGCGCUGCAGAGCUCACCGCAUUUUCAAGGCUGCGUUGACUCAACCCGGGUCAGGUUUGUGCCGGUGACCUGCGAGGCUGUGAGGGAUUUAGGGGAUAAAUCGGCAGCGCUUUCCCAAACCUGAGGUCUGGGAUUUGUGUGAGUGAGGCCAGGCAGCCCCGUUCCAGCCUCCAUCAUCCCCAGGUGGGUGUCAGGCCUGGCUCUGAUCCCUUCACGCUGACCCCAGGACACGAGUGGGCUGUCCCGGGUCCUCUCAGGAAUCCUCUGUGUCGGACUGCCAGGAAUACAGCAAGGAGGUAAAGCUACCAGGAUGAUAAAGAAUUCAAGUGGUUAAACUGAGUUAUGACAUCGAUGAUAAUUGGGGUGACCUUUCCUUAUAAAAGUUGGGCAGGAAGCAAUUCUGUGGCUAAAAAGACCAUUUCAUAGCAGAAUAAAGAGGAUGGAAAAGUGAAAUCAAAGUUUCUCUGCAAGCUGAUGCCUUCUGUUCCUCAAGUGGCCAGGAGCAAAGCCAGGAGCAAAGUGGAGCAAACUUGUCAAGUCUGCAUAGUUCCUUACCCACUCCACCCAGCAGGAACCCAUCUUUUCUUCAGCAGAAAUCUGUGUGUAUUGCCAGCUGUAGCUGUUGCUCCUCCAUAUCUGAGGCAAAUCCUUAUACAUACACCCAUCAAAUGAAGGUCUUAAAGUUUAAUCUAAAGAAACAGAUGCUCCUUCCAUUCAAUGCAGCAGACAGCAAUGCCUCAUUUUCUACAGUUUCCAGAUCCCUAACUGGUGCAACAUGAUCCAGGCAAGAUGGAAGCUAUGGAUGUCUUGCUUCAGCAGCUGAAAGCAAGAGGACAUCGUGUGCUGAUUUUGACUCAGAUGAUUCCUGUGCUUGAUAUUCUGAAGCUUUUCUUGAACUUCCAUUUUCUCACAUACAUAAGAGUUAAUGAGAGUGGUGCUCACAGUUGGCAUUGUCUGGUAAGAGGUCCUCUAACUCAAGCUAAUAGUGAAUAGAUGCUCAGAGUGGGAGGGGAAAAUGCUCAAGGGAAGUCUAAUGCAUUUCCAAGAUUCAUUUGCAUAAUUUCAUUAGUUAUUUAAGCAAUUAUA